GGAGGUAGUGACAAUAAAUCACAAUGCGGGACUAUUCGUCUUGCAAUUGGAUUGAGAACAAUGUACAACUCUUAUCGAUAAGCCAUUGGAGGGCAAGUCUGGUGCCAGCAGCCGCGGUAAUUCCAGCUCCAAUAGCGUAUAUUAACGUUGUUGCAGUUAAAAAGCUCGUAGUUGAAGUGUGGGUGGUGCCUACUUCAUGACUUCGGUUGUGAGGCAGAUCACUACCCCCUUCCAGUAUCCAGUAGUGGGUAUUCAGUUACUUACUACUGUGUGUUGGUCAUUUACUGUGAGAAAAUUAGAGUGUUCAAAGCAGGCGUUUGCUUGAAUAGAUUAGCAUGGAAUAAUAAUUGAAGGCUUUCGUGUUCGAUUUGAUUGGUUUGUUCAUGGAAGCAAGGUUAAAAGGAACAGUUGGGGGUAUUCAUAUUCACUAGUUAGAGGUGAAAUUCUCGGAUUUAUGGAAGAUGAACAAGUGCGAAAGCA
rnacentral:rRNA from 1 species